AUUGUCCCUGCGAGAGUCCUCCAGGACCGUUGGGCGCGGUUGGCACCUCGGCCCUCGAGACGGCGGGAACCGGGACUCGGGCUCUGAACCCGAGUGGUGACCGAGGAGGCGGGCCCGGCUCUCCCGGUUGCACGCGGCUGGGUGGACGCCCGCGCGGGGCUCAAGCACGCGGGUUCCCGACUCCGACCCGCGGGGGGUCGGUACUGAAGGAUUUAUUUCAUAGGUUUGGAUGAGAGACCUCAUGUGGGCUUCAGGUCCUCAUCUUCAUGAGGGAACUUCUCUGUGCCUCUGAUUCGUCGUGGGGAAAAUGGUGGUAUCCAGAGUGGCUGGCUGCCAGCUCACAUUGAUGACUCCGGGGCAGUGCCUGGCCUUCAUCUGGUCCUUGCUGCUCCAGCCUUUGCCCUGUUAAUUGAAGGAAUGCUGCCAUAACCACUUCCUGGAGAAUUGGGACUGGACCCCCAGCAGCGAGGAGCCUUGAAGGCUGGAGAGAAAGAGUUUCCAUCAUGGAUCUCUCCUGAGGGAAUAGUCCAGAUUUCCUGAGUCGUUUCCAGGUCGAGGUCCUGUAUGCCUCUUCUGUUCUCAGGACCAGUUCCUGUCAGAGUGGGAAGACCUGAUCUUGGAUAUUUGGUUUUGCUCCUUUGUGAAAAGCUGUAAAGACAAUUUUCCACCCCUAGCUGUAAAGAACUCUUGGUGGGAAAUUAUAAUUCCUUUAGGGAGAUUAAAAUCUCAUUUGGAUUACCC
ensembl:lncRNA